GGUGAACGCUGGCGGUGGGCCUAACACAUGCAAGUCGAACGGCCGCACAGUAAGAGUUUGCCUUUACGGGUGGCGGGGGGCGGACGAGUGAGGAAUACAUCGGAUUCUUCUUUUUCUUGGGGAAUAUCGUGGGACAACAUCCGCUACUACCGCAUACUACCAACGGGUGAAUGCAGGAGUGCUUCGCACUUUGCGCGUUUGAUUGAGCCGAUGCCGGAUUAGCUAGUUGGCGGGGUAAGGGCCCACCAAGGCGACGAUCCGUAGCUGGUCUGAGAGGAUGAUCAGCCACACUGGAACUGAGACACGGUCCAGACUCCUACGGGAGGCAGCAGUGGGGAAUAUUGGACAAUGGGCGCAAGCCUGAUCCAGCCAUACCGCGUGGGUGAUGAAGGCCUUCGGGUUGUAAAGCCCUGUUGUUGGGAAAGAAAAGCAGCAGGUUAAUACCCCGCUGUUCUGACGGUACCCAAAGAAUAAGCACCGGCUAACUUCGUG
rnacentral:rRNA from 1 species